GACGAACGCUGGCGGCGUGCCUAAUACAUGCAAGUCGAGCGAAUCUUUAAAAGCUUGCUUUUAUUGAUUAGCGGCGGACGGGUGAGUAACACGUGGGCAACCUGCCUGUAAGACUGGGAUAACUUCGGGAAACCGGAGCUAAUACCGGAUAAUCUGUUCCCUCGCAUGAGGGAAUGCUGAAAGACGGCGCAAGCUGUCACUUACAGAUGGGCCCGCGGCGCAUUAGCUAGUUGGUGAGGUAACGGCUCACCAAGGCGACGAUGCGUAGCCGACCUGAGAGGGUGAUCGGCCACACUGGGACUGAGACACGGCCCAGACUCCUACGGGAGGCAGCAGUAGGGAAUCUUCCGCAAUGGACGAAAGUCUGACGGAGCAACGCCGCGUGAGCGAAGAAGGCCUUCGGGUCGUAAAGCUCUGUUGUUAGGGAAGAACAAGUAUCGGAGUAACUGCCGGUACCUUGACGGUACCUAACCAGAAAGCCACGGCUAACUACGUGCCAGCAGCCGCGGUAAUACGUAGGUGGCAAGCGUUGUCCGGAAUUAUUGGGCGUAAAGCGCGCGCAGGCGGUUCCUUAAGUCUGAUGUGAAAGCCCCCGGCUCAACCGGGGAGGGUCAUUGGAAACUGGGGAACUUGAGUGCAGAAGAGAAGAGCGGAAUUCCACGUGUAGCGGUGAAAUGCGUAGAGAUGUGGAGGAACACCAGUGGCGAAGGCGGCUCUUUGGUCUGUAACUGACGCUGAGGCGCGAAAGCGUGGGGAGCGAACAGGAUUAGAUACCCUGGUAGUCCACGCCGUAAACGAUGAGUGCUAAGUGUUAGAGGGUUUCCGCCCUUUAGUGCUGCAGCAAACGCAUUAAGCACUCCGCCUGGGGAGUACGGCCGCAAGGCUGAAACUCAAAGGAAUUGACGGGGGCCCGCACAAGCGGUGGAGCAUGUGGUUUAAUUCGAAGCAACGCGAAGAACCUUACCAGGUCUUGACAUCCUCUGACACUCCUAGAGAUAGGACUUUCCCCUUCGGGGGACAGAGUGACAGGUGGUGCAUGGUUGUCGUCAGCUCGUGUCGUGAGAUGUUGGGUUAAGUCCCGCAACGAGCGCAACCCUUGAUCUUAGUUGCCAGCAUUCAGUUGGGCACUCUAAGGUGACUGCCGGUGACAAACCGGAGGAAGGUGGGGAUGACGUCAAAUCAUCAUGCCCCUUAUGACCUGGGCUACACACGUGCUACAAUGGAUGGUACAAAGGGUCGCAAAACCGCGAGGUCGAGCCAAUCCCAUAAAACCAUUCUCAGUUCGGAUUGCAGGCUGCAACUCGCCUGCAUGAAGCCGGAAUCGCUAGUAAUCGCGGAUCAGCAUGCCGCGGUGAAUACGUUCCCGGGCCU
rnacentral:rRNA from 1 species